GAUGAACGCUGGCGGCGUGCCUAAUACAUGCAAGUCGAGCGAACAGACGAGGAGCUUGCUCCUCUGACGUUAGCGGCGGACGGGUGAGUAACACGUUGAUAACCUACCUAUAAGACUGGGAUAACUUCGGGAAACCGGAGCUAAUACCGGAUAAUAUAUUGAACCGCAUGGUUCAAUAGUGAAAGACGGUUUUGCUGUCACUUAUAGAUGGAUCCGCGCCGCAUUAGCUAGUUGGUAAGGUAACGGCUUACCAAGGCAACGAUGCGUAGCCGACCUGAGAGGGUGAGCGGCCACACUGGAACUGAGACACGGUCCAGAAUCCUACGGGAGGCAGCAGUAGGGAAUCUUCCGCAAUGGGCGAAAGCUUGACGGAGCAACGCCGCGUGAGUGAUGAAGGUCUUCGGAUCGUAAAACUCUGUUAUUAGGGAAGAACAAAUGUGAAGUAACUAUGCACGUCUUGACGGUACCUAAUCAGAAAGCCACGGCUAACUACGUG
rnacentral:rRNA from 1 species